UUCAGGUAUCAGCCUUUUGGGUGCGAUUCUGUGAGGUGUGAGGAGUUAAACGCCUUCAUGUUUUGCAUAUUCGUGCUCUUGGGUGUACUUGCCCGUGUGGUUGGUUAACGUCAAUUUUGGACGCCAUAAAAUGACUGGAGGAAUGUAGCUUCGAUCUCGUAUUGAAGUGUUAUAGCCUUUGGUAGAUGUGGUUUUCGAGAUUGAGGAUUGCAACGGAUACCCUUCGGGGCUACCUAUCUGAUCUCUGAUCGUUGCUCUGGUGGCGAAAGCUUGCUUACGGAUAUCAAAGUCGAUGGUCAAUAGGUUAGAAUAGGUUAAAUUCGUUAAGGAUGUUGACGUA
rnacentral:rRNA from 1 species